UGUCAAAGGGCCCACAUCACUGCAAUAAUGGGAGCUUACACCGUAAGUCAAGAAAUGGGUCCAAUCGAGGGUUCCAGAGCAAAGAAGAUUCAACCAGAACAUCGAUAGCCACCAUCUCUGAGGCUUCUUCUUGCCUCGAACAAAAGCCACUGGCAAUAGAGCGUCGAACAUCCCGAAUCCAAGCUAGCUAUCGAAUUGGCGUUGAGACCGGUUCCGCCAGUCUGCCUGCUACUUCUCACCAAAGAUGCACCGCACAGAAAUCAUAGAAUAUCCCCAGUCGCACUGUGUGCAGAGCAACUGAAUACGCUGAAUACGCAGUUACAAGGAGCACACAAAUCCUGAUGUAGCAGCCAAACAAAAAUUGACCUCAGGCAGACGGUCCGUAAAUUCUCGGCAGGGAGACCUUAGCUCAUUCAUUCAUGGCUUUUGUCAAAGGCUCCCCAGAAGGUUCCGUUCCGCACCCGCCCGAAAAAAUCACGAAUUCCCGGUGGAGCCUCAAUAAUAGGAACAAAAUAAUCAUGGGAUAACCAGCAGUCCAGCCGAGCUAACUACGUUCGAGGAGGUCAGCUAAAAUCUAUAGUUAAUGUGUGCAGAUUAGUCUCGCAAAAAUCGCAUCCAAUGUCAGCACAAAUCAGGGGCAAUGGAGCAGAGCGUGGGCCUGCUUCACGAAAUAACCAACCUGCCAUUGCUUCCAACAGACGGUGAUCUGCCAAUGACGGUUUUUUUCUGCCAGAAACCAUCCUGUGCUUUAGUACUCUUAGAAAUGAUGCUCUCCAGCCGGUACUCUGCAGACUGACCACGUGAAAAUGGGCCAUACAGCAGACAUUACACCCACCUCAGUGGCAGAUUGAGAUUCAGGCUUAUGAAACUCAGCAAGCAGAAAUGAGACUGUCACGUCACGCCAGCUACAAGAUUUGCCUCCACUUGCCUCCACUUGCCUCCACUUGUCUACACUUGUCUACACUUGCCCACUGACGCCACGGCCUAAGACUCCCCAAGGGACAUGAUUUGGAAGUAAUCGACUGACUCUCCGUAAUCCCCUACUCGAGUGCUUGAUGGUGGCAAUGGGCGGGAAGAGGAAAAGGAUCGAAUAGCGGAAAGCCCUUCCAUUCUUCUCUAUUUCAAAUCCAGGAAGGGGGAAAAGAAAAAGUUCGACCAUUCUUGACGACGUGGUUUUUGGCUGAUUACUAUUUACAUUGAUCGUAUUCAGCUAGUUCUAGGUGAAGAAAACUACGCUGUAAACGCAAGCGUUCUGACAAACACUCGCCACCCCAUUACGAACGGCGGUGUAUUUUUUCUUUCUUGCUUUUUUUUUUUUAAUAAUAGUCAAUACAAUAUGGAUAGUUAGACGGAUUGCAGAAGGCGACUGCUUGCUCUAAUAGGCUUAUUUUUUUACUCUUUGGUAUUAAUUUCUUGGCAUACAGAAGCUGCUUUGAGACAGGUUACUCAAAGUUACGCUUCACCCUCUGAUUUGAAAAAAAAAAAAAAGGGAAGGGCAUUUUCUUGUUGGGAAAUUGUUAGAGCAUUUAAUUAUUGUCAUGUUCAAUAGCGACCGCGCCCAUGUUACCUCUUCUUUAAGGUGAAAAUUUUCCAGAUAUAUUUGAUUUUCCUUCAUUCUUCUGCACAACCAUGGAUUGAGCGGGAACUGGCAAGGGCCAAGCAUUCGUUUGUAUUUAUACUUGAGGGCUGAAAAGGAGGGAAACAAAAUUUUCGAUCAAGG
rnacentral:sRNA from 1 species